CCCCGAUUUUGGAUAUUUGAAAAUUUUGUUGUGUUUCCACUAUUGGUUGUUUGGUUAGUGACUUUGCCAGCUUCCUGGAUAUUCGUCUUUGGUUCUGCACAAAAGAGCCAGGUUUCCUUUUGGAAUCGGGACCAGGAGCCGAAGCGGACUCAGAACUGCCAAUGAGAUGGACUUAGAGCAAACCACAGCUCAGAAGAAUCAGAAGUUGCCAAAAAUAAAAUGCAGAGAGAGCAUCUGUCUUGACUGAAUCAACUUCCUCCUCUGGUCAGGACGUCUGCUGGGACGACUCAUCUUAGUGGUUGAUGGAAAAGCCGGUUCGCGGGUUCCCACAGUGCUGCAGGAAGGAAGCUCGGCUUAUGUUAACGACAUGUGGCUGAUUCAAGCGAUUUCCAGUUUGAGGCCGGCGUCAAAUGAGAAGUCUCCCCGUGGCAGGACCUGGCAGCCGGGAAGCAGGAGCCUCACACACGCUGGGACAUUUAAUACGCUUUGUUCAGCGUUGUACAAGAAACCCAGUCAGCAAAUCCUGAUUUAUGGCCGGGCUCAGGCUUCCUGCUACUUUAAACCCUGAAAAUGUCGAGCCUCGCCCUGUGUGCCCGCCAGCGCAGCUGCCUCCUGCCACCUUCCCGCCUGUCCCCGCCUCAUCACUUACAUAAUGUCAGCGUGGAGUAAUGGACUUUCCAGGGCUUUGACUUGUCCAUCUGAACUUGU